rnacentral:rRNA from 1 species
CGGGAAACCGGAGCUAAUACCGGAUAAUAUUCGAACCGCAUGGUUCGAUAGUGAAAGGUGGUUUUGCUAUCACUUAUAGAUGGACCUGCGCCGUAUUAGCUAGUUGGUAAGGUAACGGCUUACCAAAGGCGACGAUACGUAGCCGACCUGAGAGGGUGAUCGGCCACACUGGAACUGAGACACGGUCCAGACUCCUACGGGAGGCAGCAGAU